UAGGGAAUCUUCGGCAAUGGGGGGAACCCUGACCGAGCAACGCCGCGUGAGUGAAGAAGGUUUUCGGAUCGUAAAGCUCUGUUGUUAAGGAAGAACUAGUGUGAGAAUGGAAAGUUCAUGCUGUGACGGUACUUAACCAGAAAGGGACGGCUAACUACGUGCCAGCAGCCGCGGUAAUACGUAGGUCCCGAGCGUUGUCCGGAUUUAUUGGGCGUAAAGCGAGCGCAGGCGGUUAGAAAAGUCUGAAGUGAAAGGCAGUGGCUCAACCAUUGUAGGCUUUGGAAACUGUUUAACUUGAGUGCAGAAGGGGAGAGUGGAAUUCCAUGUGUAGCGGUGAAAUGCGUAGAUAUAUGGAGGAACACCGGUGGCGAAAGCGGCUCUCUGGUCUGUAACUGACGCUGAGGCUCGAAAGCGUGGGGAGCUAACAGG
rnacentral:rRNA from 1 species